AUCCUCAAGUUCAUAAGCGUGAUGAUUGGGUGUUCAUGCUUCAUGCAUGACAUGUGCCUCCUUUGAACCUUGUUACGAUAUCGGCACAUUACCCAUUUGACG
rfam:Cavia porcellus supercont2_12 genomic scaffold, whole genome shotgun sequence.